ensembl:lncRNA uncharacterized LOC115157379
AUGAGUGGUCGCGAGCGCAGUAGAAACCGAACCUGGUCGUUGGAUUCGGACCUUGACUCGCGUGCGUCCCAGACAGUGGGCAGUUCGGCAGGGGGUCUUGAGGAGGACAAGGAGGUCGCCUCGCAAGCUGUCCUGUUCUUCAUCAACGGUUCGAGGAGAGGUGCAGUGCACCUGUGCUCGAGUAUAGCCGAGAUACUGCGCGAGAAUCAACGUCUGCACAGGACCGUAGAGGUCCAGAGGGUCCGAAUAGAGGAGCUGAUGUGCUCUCUGUCCACUGCUCCGGCUGCUCCCGUGGGUCUUUCAGAUUCCAACAGAUCCCAGACCAGCUCCACCUCUCCCUUCUCCUGCCUCCCCUCCAUCUCUCUCGCUGCCUCCUCCCCCUACCUCCUCUCUCCCCCAGCCAGUGUCUCACCCAGUGUGUCCUCCUUAUACAGCUCUGGGAGGGGCAGCCUGUGCUCUAACACCACACCCCCUUGCCUCCCUCCUCUGGUCCCCCUUCACAACCUUACCCCUCAGAGGAGACCGGCAGCAGUUCUGCCCUGUGUGAAAGAGUAUGAGAAGGAGGAUCCAGGAGAUGAGAGGAGAGGAAAGGAGAGGGGGAAGAAGAGAGGGGGAGAAAGGAGACAAGAAGACAACAGUCUUAUUCUACCCUCUGUAGAAGAAGCUCUGGGAUCACAACCCCUACCCAUCAUGCCUCACUCCUCCCAUAGUGACAGCAUAGCCAGAGAAAGAGUCAGGAGGGAGAAGGGCAACCUGUCGUCUGAGCAGGGUGGACAGACAUCGGACCGAAAACACACGCUGAAGGUUGGACCUCAUUAUCAUACUUCACAAUGGACACAUGAGGAUGUCACAGCCUUUAUGAUGAGCUGUUUUGGUGGUGGUUUGUUUUUGGUCAUUGUUGUUGUUUGUGAGCAGAAAAGAGAGAAAGUCCUAAGGAGAAGUGCCUCAUGUGGACCUCUGAGGGGAGAGAUGGAGGAGACAAAAGAGGAGGAGAGGUGGUGUCUGGCCCCAGAUUGUCCUGACUCCUCGUCCACAGUCCAAGCAGCAGGAGGGCUGGACACCAGGGCAUUAACCACCAGGAGGAAGCACCGUCUGUGUGUGAAUGACCGUGUAGUGCUGGAGAGCAGGACGAGAGGAGAGGAGAGGAGAAGAGGAGCUGUGAGGUUUAUCGGACCACUGGAAAACACUGAGUCUAGAGACAUCUAUAUCGGAGUGGAAUUGGACACAGCCAGUGGAGAAAAUGAAGGCAGUCUCCAUGGUAACAGGUACUUCAGGUGUAAGCCCAACCAUGGAACAUUCACCACCAUCACGGGGAUCAGAAAGCUCUCUCGAUCAUCCCACUCCAAGUCUAGAAGCUCCAAACCUCCAGAUGAGGGUGACUCUAGUGACUCUGGGCCGGGGAGCUCUGCAGUGGCAAUGGGGAGGAGCAGCCGGAACGUUGGGAGUAGGAGCAGGAACGGGCUCAGAAGGACCUGGAACCAGAUGGACAUUAGACCUCAGGUCCAUUCAGAGCCAGGACCUAGAGACAAGACUACAGUGGAGAACCCUGGACUGGACUGA